CUCACCUCCUACUAGGGGAAUGAUUACAAAGACUUGCAUGCAUGUCCAAUAUGUGGGGCAUCUCGUUAUAAAACAAGCGAGAAUGUUGCUCGUAAA